GUGCUAGCUUUGGCAGCACAUAUACUAAAAUUGGAACGAUGCAGAGAAGAUUAACAUGACCCUGUACAGGAUCACAUGUGUAUUUGUGAAGGAUUCCAUAUUUUU